UACGAAGGGGGCUAGCGUUGUUCGGAAUUACUGGGCGUAAAGCGCACGUAGGCGGGUCGUUAAGUCCGGGGUGAAAUCCCAGAGCUCAACUCUGGAACUGCCUUUGAUACUGGCGACCUAGAGUCCGGAAGAGGUUAGUGGAAUUCCCAGUGUAGAGGUGAAAUUCGUAGAUAUUGGGAAGAACACCAGUGGCGAAGGCGGCUAACUGGUCCGGUACUGACGCUGAGGUGCGAAAGCGUGGGGAGCAAACAGG
rnacentral:rRNA from 1 species